rnacentral:tRNA from 1 species
GCGGCUGUAGUCUAGGGGCAGGAUGCCGGCUUCCCAAGCCGGCGACCCGGGUUCGAAUCCCGGCAGCCGCA